UCAAGCAAUAAGGGCACAGGGCGGAUGCCUUGGCACUAAGAGCCGAUGAAAGACGUGAUAAGCUGCGAUAAGCUUCGGGGAGGAGCAAAUAUCCCGUGAUCCGGAGAUGUCUGAAUGGGGAAACCCACAUGAGCAAACCUCAUGUAUCCAUACGCCAAUCCAUAACGUAUGGAAGGGAACCCGGGGAACUGAAACAUCUAAGUACCCGGAGGAAGAGAAAGAAAACUCGAUUCCGUAAGUAGCGGCGAGCGAACGCGGAGGAGCCUAAACCGGAAUGCGUGCAUUCCGGGGUUACGGACUGCAUUUAAGAUUCAGUGAUGUUAACAGAACGGUUUUGGGAAAGCCGGCCGCAGAGGGUGAAAGCCCCGUACGUGAAAACAGAGCUGACUGAGCAGGAUCCAGAGUACCACGAGACACGUGGAACCUUGUGGGAAAUCAGGGGGACCACCCCCUAAGGCUAAAUACUACUUAGUGACCGAUAGCGCAUAGUACUGUGAAGGAAAGGUGAAAAGGACCCCGGGAGGGGAGUGAAAGAGAACCUGAAACCCUGUGUUUACAAGCUGUGGGAGCACGUUAAGGUGCGACCGCGUACUUUUUGUAGAACGGUCCGGCGAGUUGCCGGCGCUGGCAAGGUUAAGCGGUAAAGCCGUGGAGCCGAAGGGAAACCAAGUCUCAAAUGGGCGUAAAGUCAGCGCAGGCAGACCCGAAACCGGGUGACCUAUCCAUGUCCAGGUUGAAGCGGAAGUAAAAUUCCGUGGAGGACCGGAUCCACAUCCGUUGAAAAGGGUGGGAAUGAGGUGUGGAUAGGGGAGAAAUUCCAAUCGAACCCGGAGAUAGCUGGUUCUCCUCGAAAUAGCUUUAGGGCUAGCCUCGUAUUAGUUUAGCGGAGGUAGAGCACUGAAUUCCUAAGGGGGCGUCAAAGCUUACCAAGGGAUAUCAAACUCCGAAUGCCGCAUAAAUGAUGUACGGGAGUCAGACUGCACGAGAUAAGUUGGGCAGUCGAAAGGGAAAGAGCCCAGACCUACAGCUAAGGUCCCAAAGUGUGUGUUAAGUGGAAAAGGAUGUGGGAUUUCAGAGACAACCAGGAUGUUGGCUUAGAAGCAGCCACACAUUCAAAGAGUGCGUAAUAGCUCACUGGUCGAGAGGUCCUGCGCCGAAAAUGUCCGGGGCUGAAACACAACACCGAAGCUUAGGAACGAGAGAUCGUUGGUAGAGGAGCAUUCUUAAAGGGGCGAAGCAGUACCGGCAAGGAGCUGUGGACUUUUAAGAAGAGAGAAUGCCGGAAUGAGUAGCGAGAUGGAGGUGGGAAUCCUCCAGGCCGAAUAUCCAAGGUUUCCAGAGUAAAGCUGAUCUGCUCUGGGUAAGUCGGGGCCUAAGGCGAGGCUGAAAAGCGUAGCCGAUGGACAACAGGUUGAGAUUCCUGUACCGCGUAUCAUCAGAACUGUGGGGACACAGAAGGACAGCACAUCCCGGGAAUGGGAAGACCGGGGCAAGCAGGGUAGGAGUCAGGCAGGCAAAUCCGUCUGGCAAUCCGAAGCUGUGAUGCGGAGCGAACAGAAGUAGCGAAGUGUGCGAUUCCAGCUGUCAAGAAAAGCCGCUAUUGUGUGAUACGUGCCCGUACCGUAAACCGACACAGGUAGAUGAGGAGAGAAUCCUAAGGCCGGCGGGAGAAGCAUUGUUAAGGAACUCGGCAAAAUGACCCUGUAACUUCGGGAGAAAGGGUGCCUGGGAAACCAGGCCGCAGAGAAUAGGCUCAAGCAACUGUUUAGCAAAAACACAGGUCUAUGCAAAACCGUAAGGUGAGGUAUAUGGGCUGACGCCUGCCCGGUGCUGGAAGGUUAAGAGGAGAGGUUAGAGCAAUCGAAGCUUUGAAUUGAAGCCCCAGUAAACGGCGGCCGUAACUAUAACGGUCCUAAGGUAGCGAAAUUCCUUGUCGGGUAAGUUC
rnacentral:rRNA from 1 species